ACCAGGUCAGGACACGGUAAGGAUUGACGGACUGAAGGCUCUUUCUCGAUUCCGUGGAAAGUGGUGCAUGGCCGUUUUUGGUUGGUGGAUCGAUCCGUCUGGUUAAUUCCGUUAACGAACGAGACCUCGGCACUCCGAAUAGCGCGGCGGACGUCGCGGCCUCCGGGCCGUCUUCCGCACGAGCUUCUUAGAGGGACCGUCCCCCGCCGGGGAAGGAGGUGCGAGGCAACGACAGGUCUGUGAUGCCCUUAGAUGUUCUGGGCCGCACGCGCAUUACACUGACGCGUCCAACGGGUGACUCCCGACCCGAAGGGGCCGGGGAAUCCGCAAGGCGCGUCGUGAUGGGGAUUGAACGUUGCAAUUGUUGUUCACGAACGAGGAAUUCCUAGUAGGCGCGGGUCAUCAACCCGCGCCGAUUACGUCCCUGCCCUUUGUACACACCG
rnacentral:rRNA from 1 species